AUUGAACGCUGGCGGCAGGCCUAACACAUGCAAGUCGAGCGGAUGAAGGGAGCUUGCUCCUGGAUUCAGCGGCGGACGGGUGAGUAAUGCCUAGGAAUCUGCCUGGUAGUGGGGGAUAACGUCCGGAAACGGGCGCUAAUACCGCAUACGUCCUGAGGGAGAAAGUGGGGGAUCUUGGGACCUAACGCAUUCGGUUAAGCCUAGGUCGGAUUAGCUAGUUGGUGGGGUAAAGGCCUACCAAGGCGACGAUCCGUAACUGGUCUGAGAGGAUGAUCAGUCACACUGGAACUGAGACACGGUCCAGACUCCUACGGGAGGCAGUAGUGGGGAAUAUUGGACAAUGGGCGAAAGCCUGAUCCAGCCAUGCCGCGUGUGUGAAGAAGGUCUUCGGAUUGUAAAGCACUUUAAGUUGGGAGGAAGGGCAGUAAGUUAAUACCUUGCUGUUUUGACGUUACCAACAGAAUAAGCACCGGCUAACUUCGUG
rnacentral:rRNA from 1 species